rnacentral:rRNA from 1 species
GAUGCUAAUACCGGAUAACAACAGAUGAUGCCUAUCAACUGUUUAAAAGAUGGUUCUGCUAUCACUCUUGGAUGGACCUGCGGUGCAUUAGAUAGUUGGUAGGGUAACGGCCUACCAAGGCGAUGAUGCAUAGCCGAGUUGAGAGACUGAUCGGCCACAUUGGGACUGAGACACGGCCCAAACUCCUACGGGAGGCAGCAGAU